UUAUCUCGAGUUCGUCGUUCUCAGAUGUCUACUGUCCGAGCUAACUACCACCAUCUUCCUCCUCUGCUUCUGCUUCCCAUUCGCGUGGCCUUGAAGGAACAAAGGCUAUAGCUGUCCAAGUUCUUCAUGGAAAUUUCGUAUCCAUGGACUAAAGAUUUGGUGCUCAAGGUGUACUGAUUGGAUCGUUAAGGAGAUGAAAAGGUCUGGUCUUCGUGGGUCGUGGUGGCGCCGGUUUUCCCUUCUGGUCUUAAGUGGUCCUUUAUGCCUAAGGUCUCUGAUGGUCUUCCUUCUUAUUUGGUUAGUCACUCAACGCUGAUGAGAGUGAGACUGGGACUUGUAAAGAUAGGGAGAUCAUGCGUCAUGACCCUCAUAAGUUGUUGGAAGGGUGUUUGAUCGCUGGUGUGGAGAUCAAGGGAGCGUGCUGAAAGGGAGUUGCUACAGGCUGCUGCUUAAAAGCCUUUGUUAACACAGGUUUGCAUCAUUGUUUUAUUUGUUUAAGUUUAUGUGUUAAAUGGUUUAUGUAAAACUUUAUUCAAGUUUGUUGUUUGUACAAGAAAAAGCUUUAUUUGUGCUUUUGCUUACUCUUGUUUCUUAAUUGUUUGCUUGUGGGAGCACAUUUUGGGAACAACCAAACGAAUCCUUUUAUCUUGUUUGAAAUAAAGGAUGCUCCCGUUUGGGGUUUUAAAUA